rnacentral:rRNA from 1 species
UAGGGAAUCUUCCGCAAUGGGCGAAAGCCUGACGGAGCAAUGCCGCGUGAUUGAAGAAGGCCUUCGGGUCGUAAAACUCUGUUAUAAGAGAAGAACAAAUUGUAGAGUAACUGCUACAGUCUUGACGGUAUCUUAUCAGAAAGCCACGGCUAACUACGUGCCAGCAGCCGCGGUAAUACGUAGGUGGCAAGCGUUGUCCGGAUUUAUUGGGCGUAAAGGGAGCGCAGGUGGUUUCUUAAGUCUGAUGUGAAAGCCCACGGCUUAACCGUGGAGGGUCAUUGGAAACUGGGAAACUUGGGUACAGAAGAGGAAUGUGGAACUCCAGGUGUAGCGGUGGAAUGCGGAGAUAUAUGGAAGAACACCAGUGGCGAAGGAGACAUUCUGGUCUGUUACUGACACUGAGGCUCGAAAGCGUGGGGAGCAAACAGG